UGGGGAAUUUUGGACAAUGGGGGCAACCCUGAUCCAGCCAUUCCGCGUGAGUGAAGAAGGCCUUCGGGUUGUAAAGCUCUUUCGGCAGGAACGAAACGGCGAGCUCUAACAUAGCUCGCUAAUGACGGUACCUGAAGAAGAAGCACCGGCUAACUACGUGCCAGCAGCCGCGGUAAUACGUAGGGUGCGAGCGUUAAUCGGAAUUACUGGGCGUAAAGCGUGCGCAGGCGGUUGUGUAAGACAGGUGUGAAAUCCCCGGGCUUAACCUGGGAACUGCGCUUGUGACUGCACGACUAGAGUAUGGCAGAGGGGGGUGGAAUUCCACGUGUAGCAGUGAAAUGCGUAGAGAUGUGGAGGAACACCGAUGGCGAAGGCAGCCCCCUGGGCCAAUACUGACGCUCAUGCACGAAAGCGUGGGGAGCAAACAGGAUUAGAUACCCUGGUAGUCCACGCCCUAAACGAUGUCGACUAGGUGUUCGGUGAGGAGACUCAUUGAGUACCGCAGCUAACGCGUGAAGUCGACCGCCUGGGGAGUACGGUCGCAAGAUUAA
rnacentral:rRNA from 1 species